UUAUAGUCGGGUGGAUUCGGAUUGGAGGCCGAUGUUUUUAUUAUUAUUAUUAUUAUUUUAUCGUUCAUCAGAUGUAAACCAAUUUAUGUUAUGAUAACGUUCAUAUGUCGUUAUCGUUAUAAAUGUGGACUCCGCUAUUCUCGUAAGAUUAAUAUGGUUACCUCUCCUGACUCAUGUGAGCGCUUCUGCGUUAACACGGUGACGGGAAACCUGAGAAGAUGUUUGUUAUUGGUGUUAGCCCCUGAAGCCCGGGGCUCCUGCAGAGCUGGACUCUCACCAUUUCAUCAGAAUCAGGAGAAAUCAAAGCGUGAGGGACGUCGCUGUCAGGGCGGCCCGCAGGUCGACUGAUCCACGAGCUUUGAUGUGCGCAGACGCUGGGGUUGCCAUGUCAUGGACAGUCACCUCCGGGCCAGAUGGACGUGUUUGAAGUAGAAUAUGAGAGAGAGAAUCACGAAUGAUUGGAACAAAAUGGACUGCAAUCAAAUACUAGACCUCCAGGGCCUUUGCUUUACAGAGAACCAUCACAACAGCUACACAUGAUGGUCAAUUUGAGCUUGUUUUAAGUAAUUCCAGGAAAAAAGAACCAGCAUUUCUAUUUUCUAUGAAACUGCUUUAAUAACAAAUUUAAAGAAAUAAGAAUAUUCAAACUGUAAACUAAAUGAAAAAUAGAAUUUUUGAAGCACUAAACUCAUUAACUGGAAAUAAAUUAAAACUAAA